GGCAAAAUUAUUCAUGCUUUCAAGUCAAUAGCAAUCAUACAAUAAAAAAACUCUAGAGUUCAAAACCUCACUCAUGGUGGUGAUCUUUCUUGAAGGAGAUUCAAAGGGACACUGAUUGUGCGCUCAUUGCUUGAUCACAUUCUGCACAUUGAGGUGUUUCUAGUUUGAUCAAGAAUCUGGUUUAGCAUCCAUGGUGAUUUCUAUGUGUACUUGUUGUGACUUUAGGGGAUAGACUCGUGGAGUCUGGUUUACUUUUAGGAUUGUUCAAAGUGGUUUUGCAGAUUGCAGGAGAGGGGAUAUCUUGCUGCAAGUCAUUUGCUCCAAUAACUCCUUCAAUGUAGGCUCAGAAGUAGUGGAAGGAUGCGGAGUUGCUUGGGCAGGCUCAUGAAACUGCGGCUGCUGUGGUUCCUGAACAGGUGGAGAAGGCAUACAAGGAGUCUGGAAUGAUGGUUCCUGAUAUUGAUGCUCUGAAUUACCAUACCAUCCCAAGUUAGGAUUCGUCCACCCAGGAUCGUCGCUAUAACCAUACCGCACAGGNNNN
rnacentral:lncRNA from 1 species